AUCCGAAUCAAAAACCUUUGAUGGGUCCUAUGCCCAUAAACUUGAAUAUCAUAAUUGACAUAUGUUUGAAUGAUAUCGCAAUUGAAAUAACAUGAGUUAUUUAUUAUAAUAUUUUAUAAUUAUUAUGAAAUAUUAUAUUGGUUUGUUAUGGACUAUGGAAUAUCCAUGUGAUGGAUGUAUGUAUGAAUGCUUUCUUGAUAGUUGAUUAUAUUAAUGCAUCUGCAAGAGUUGUAAUAGGGGC
rnacentral:lncRNA from 1 species